GGCCUUCCAGUGCUUAGCACAGGCUGUGUUCUUUUGCUGCCAGUACAGAAAGAGGAGGCGCAGUAAACCCACCCUUAUACAACUGAGCCCAAACCCUUUGCCUGCUCUGUAUUCUGAAUGGGGGCCAUGG